GUUCCUAGAUCAUCCUCUCUUCCU
rnacentral:siRNA from 1 species